rnacentral:rRNA from 1 species
AUACGGAGGGUCCAAGCGUUAUCCGGAAUCAUUGGGUUUAAAGGGUCCGUAGGCGGGCAAUUAAGUCAGGGGUGAAAUCCCACAGCUCAACUGUGGAACUGCCUUUGAUACUGGUUGUCUUGAGUUAUAGUGAAGUAGAUAGAAUAUGUAGUGUAGCGGUGAAAUGCAUAGAUAUUACAUAGAAUACCGAUUGCGAAGGCAGUCUACUAACUGUAUACUGACGCUAAUGGACGAAAGCGUGGGGAGCGAACAGGAUUAGAAACCCUAGUAGUCC